UUCGGUCCCAAUGCUUACAAAAGCCUUGGUGGUAACUCCUUUGGUCUAGUUAUAGUUGAUGAUUAUUCCAGAUUUACGUGGGUAUUUUUCCUUGAUGACAAAUCGCAGGUUCAGAGAAUCUUCAAAACCUUUGCCAGAAAGGCCCAAAAUCAAUUUGAGGUGAAGAUCAAGAAAGUUCGGAGUGACAAUGGAACGGAGUUCAAGAACGCCAAUGUAGACUCUUUUCUCGAUGAGGAAGGGAUUCUACAUGAGUUCUCGGCUACAUACACUCCUCAACAAAAUGGAGUUGUUGAGAGGAAGAACCGAACGCUCAUAGAGAUGGCGAGAACAAUGCUUGAUGAAUACAAGACACCGAAGCAUUUUUGGGGUGAAGCGGUCGAGACAGCUUGUCAUGCUAUCAACAGGCUUUAUCUUCAUAAGCUCCUCGGCAAGACAUCAUACGAGCUCCUCACCGGUAACAAACCCCAAGUGGGAUACUUUCGUGUCUUUGGUUCGAAAUGCUAUAUCCUUGAUAAGCAUCGUCGGUCUAAAUUUGCUCCUAAAACUCAUGAAGGCUUUUUUCUUGGUUAUGGAUCAAACUCCCACACCUACCGUGUCUACAAUAAUUUCACCCGAAAGGUUGAAGAGACGGUAGACGUGAAGUUUGAUGAAUCUAAUGGCUCGCAAGUAGAGCAAAUGCCUAUUGAUGUAGGAGACAAGGACCCAUCGGAAGCUAUCCAAGAUUUAUCUAUUGGAAAGAUCCGUCCCAUGGAAGUGAAGGAGAGUACCUCAUCUACAUAUGUGGAGCCCCCUACCUCACAGCGAAAUGAACCUCAAGGCAACAUGGAGGCUUCCACAAGUGGAACUCACCAAGAUGAGGAAGUGCAACAAGAAGAUCCACCACAACCUCCUUCUCCACCGCCUCAAGACAACACCAACAACAAUGAAGAAGAAGAAGAGGAAGAUGAAGAUGAUGAGGAAGCUCAGCCACAACCUCAACAAAAGCUAUCCCGAGUUCGAGCAAGAGUCAAGAAAAAUCAUCCCGUGGAACAAAUGAUGAACGAUAUCAACUCCGGGAGAAUUACUCGCUCUAAAACUCGCUUAGCUAACUUUUGUGAGCAUUACUCAUUUAUCUAUAGUAUUGAACCUAUGAAGGUAGAAGAAGCACUUGAAGACCCGGAUUGGGUGAACGCUAUGCACGAAGAAUUACACAACUUUGAGAGGAACAAGGUAUGGACUUUGGUAGAGAAGCCCAAGGAUGAUCAAAACGUCAUUGGAACCAAAUGGGUGUUUCGAAACAAGCAAGAUGAAGAUGGACAAGUCAUCCGCAACAAGGCUCGUCUCGUAGCUCAAGGUUACACACAAGUUGAAGGUAUGGACUAUGGUGAGACCUAUGCCCCCGUUGCUAGACUUGAGUCCAUUCACAUUCUUCUUGCUUAUGCCAAUCACCAUGAUAUUACUCUCUAUCAAAUGGAUAUCAAAAGUGCUUUCCUAAAUGGUGAAAUUGAGGAGGAAGUAUUUGUGAAACAACCUCCCAGAUUUGUGAAUCCCAAAAAGCCUAAUCAUGUUUACAAGUUGCACAAAGCUCUUUAUGGUCUUAAACAAGCUCCUAGAGCUUGGUACAAAUGCUUGACUAGCUUUCUUCUUGAAAAAGGCUUUGAGAUUGGAAAGAUAGACUCAAUGCUGUUCACGAAAAGGGUUGAUGGUGAACUAUUUGUGUGCCAAAUAUAUGUUGAUGAUAUUAUCUUUGGUUCAACUAACCCUCAUUUUAGCGAGAAGUUUGGAAAGCUCAUGUCGGAGAAGUAUGAGAUGUCCAUGAUGAGUGAACUCAAAUUCUUCCUUGGGUUGCAAAUCAAGCAAUCUAAGGAGGGUACCUUUGUCUCACAAACAAAGUACACCAAGGAUCUCUUCAAGAAGUUCAACAUGCAAGAAAGCAAAGGUAUGAGAACCCCCAUGCCUACAAGUGAACAUAAUGACUUGACAAAAGAUGGAGAACCCGUUGAUCAAAAGGUUUACCGAUCUAUGAUUGGUUCUCUACUAUAUCUUUGUGCUUCUCGUCCUGACAUAAUGUUGAGUGUAUGCAUGUGUGCUCGAUAUCAAGCAGCCCCUAAAGAAUGUCAUCUUAAAGCUGUUAAAAGGAUUGUGAGAUAUUUGAUACACACACCAAACUUUGGCAUUUGGUAUCCUAAGAGGGCCUCUUUCGACCUUAUUGGCUAUUCCGACUCGGACUGUGCUGGUGACAGGGUUGAUAGAAAGUCAACUUCGGGUACGUGUCAAUUCCUUGGUCGAUCCCUUGUAUCUUGGUCCUCCAAGAAACAAAAUUCGGUAUCAUUAUCCACUGCCGAAGCGGAAUAUAUUGCUGCUGGUUCGUGUUGUGCUCAAUUGCUAUGGAUGACACAAACGCUUAAGGAUUAUGGGAUACAUGUGAGACAUGUUCCCUUGCUUUGUGAUAAUGAGAGUGCGAUUAAAAUUGGACACAAUCCCGUGCAACACUCUCGAACGAAACAUAUUGAAGUUCGUCACCAUUUCAUUCGUGAUCACAUUGCCAAGGGUGACAUCAAUCUUAAGCAUGUUCGUACUGACAAACAACUCGCUGAUAUCUUUACAAAACCUCUUGAUGAGAAGGUGUUUUGUCGCUUAAGGAGUGAGUUGAACAUCAUUGAUGCCUCAAACUUGGAGUGAGAACUCCAUUGAUGCAUGCAAGGCAUGAGCCUACUUGACUAAUCCUUGAUAUUUCUCUUAUGAUGGUAAUCAUAUGUCUUGGACACAUUUGCCUCCUUGUAUUGCAUCUAACUCCUUGCAGGUACUUGGAUGAUCUACAUUCCACAAGACUACCACACACUCAAAUCAUGAGUAAUCUUGUCAUUGACCAAGUAUCUAGCCCUUUGGGAUGUUGAGUUCAAGGAACAAAAUUCCACAUAUCCUUUUUGACAUCUUAUACAUCUAGUAUUUCGCUCUUGUCAUCUUGGAUAUCCUUGAGUAUUUCCUUGCUUGCCUAACCCAUGUAGGAAGAUGAACUACACAAGUGGAAAUGGCGCUCCAACUUCACAUUCAAUGAGCACCUACAUCAAGUUUACCUACAUGAACAAAGCAACAACAAGCCCAAGGUAUGUUCUUCACAUCUUUAAGGAGCUUUGCUCAAAGUCAUGAGUACACGCAGCUUCAUAAGAUGUGAUCACAUCAAAUGCUUAAUCGAAAAAUGGCAACCCCAUUUUGAGCUUAAACGAUGAGUAUGACCCAUGAUCAAAUGUUCUCAUUUGACUCCUAAGUCAAUAUACUCACACAUAGGUGACCUUGUCGCCGACCCUUAUCUAGAUGAAGUACAUAUGUUUUGGAGUCUUUCUAUUUUCUCUUAUGUUCUCUCAUUGAGUUUUUUUUUUAAAAAAACUUCAUCUAGGAAUCUUUUUCAUUUCUUUUUUUUGGUCUUUGUGAAUAUCCUUCUGGCUCUGAUCAAUUCCUCGAAAAUCAUUCACAAAUUCAUUGCAAACCCUUUGAAACAUUCCUCGCAAAUUGAGCUGAAUUAUUUCUGUAUUUCCUUGGAAUUAAACUCGGCGUCACCGAUUUAAAUAUUUCGGUCUAACCGAAAAGGAUCUACCCUAAGUCCCUGACUUUCGGACCCACCGAUCCAUCUUAAUUCGGUGUCACCGAUUUAUUUCUUUCAGGAUAUCAUCUUCUGCAGCUCCACUCAAUGAUUCUCUAUGCAUGUUCCUUUUUGCCCUAUUGUGAUUCUUAAGGAUCCCACUUCUUUCUUUCCAUCUUCCCUAACCUUCCUAGUUUGCUGUCCUUUUCGGCACUUGAUGUCAAAGGGGGAGAAGACUUAGGGGAGAAGAGAAGAUUUAGGGGGAGAAGAAGAGCAAUCUUACCUUAAGGGGGAGAGAAUCACAUCAAAGCUUUGCCGUGUUUUUCCUUAUAAGAGAAUUUCUUGCCGUGUUUCACAUUGGACAUUACAAUUGGCGUCAUUCUCAUUUGGCAUCAUUCUUUUGAUUUUGCUCUUUCCAUCAAACCCCUUGAUCGUAGAGAACUCAAAGGGAGAGGAAUCUUCACAAUUGAUAUCUUAUGGAAAGCAAAAUCUCUCAGAGUUCAUUGAAAAUCUUUUAGUUUCAGAGACAUGUUUGCUGAUUCAAGCUUGUGCUCAAUAUGAGACACUCUUUAUACAUGUCAUCCCUGGCUUGGUACUCUUGAUGUUCUUGCAGUUGGUUGAAGAAAUACUCUUGUGUUAUCUAACCUUGUUUUCCCAAGUUUAUCUCUUCAGGUACAAUGCCAAGGAACCUCAAGGUAAGUAUAUGCACUUUGCAGAAUGUGCAUGAUGGUGACUUGCUUGUGAAUACUUGUUUGCAAGAAAUCACCAUGCACAUAUGCAUUAUCACUCACUUCUUUUCAUCUGCUCUGAUGCAUGUAGCCAAGCUGCAUGUAGCACAUCUUGCUUUUCUCUCUUGUGUGCUUGUGGUAGUCCAAAACCGUAAUUUAUGAAAAUCUUGCACACUUGUAGGGGGAGCCUGUGUACUACAUGCUUGUCAAAGCUUUCGUGAUAAUUCUGUCUUUCUUUCAAUAAGCUUUGAUGUCUUGUUUAGUGUGUUGCCAUCAAUUACCAAAAAGGGGGAGAUUGAAAGCACAUUUGCUCCUCGGGUGGUUUUGGUAAUUAAUGACAACAUACUUUGUGGUUGGACUAAUGCUUUUAUCAAGUAUGUUUCAGGAAAUUCAAUCACAUUGGCAUGGCAAAAGGACUAAAGAGGUGGACCCCUCAAAAUGCUAAGGCAAGCAUUGGCAAAAGCUCAAGACUCCAUUUUUGGUUUAGUGAUCCUAGAUCACAUUGAGUCCAUAGGAAAAGCCAAUACUAUUAAAAGGGGAUGAGGUUAUGAUGAUGAUCUGGUUGCUCAAGUGCUUAGUGAUACAUCUCCUAAACUAUCAGCAACUUUCACUGCCAUAUACACUCAUAAGUAGUCUCGGUCCCACCGAUAUUCCAAACUCAGUCACACCGAGAUGAACCACCUCAGCCAUAAGCCAAACCCUAGAAAACUCGGAUUUUCCGAUUCUGAACUCGGUCUCACCGAAACAUGAGUUGCCAAGCUUCUGUAACCUUCUAUCAUCAAAUCGGUGUCACCGAGAUGAUGAAGUCGGUCCCACCGAAACUGGCAUGCUCUUGUCAUUGCACGAAUCGGACUAACCGAGAUUGUAUUUUCGGUCCCACCGAAAAUCCCAACGUUCACAUUAUUUGAACUAUCAGUCUCACCGAGUUGUCCACUUCGGUCCCACCGAGAUUGCUCAAAUGUGUGUAACGGUUGGAUUUUGUGUGGAGGCUAUUUAUACCCCUCCACCCCCUCUUCAUUCGUGGAGAGAGCCAUCAGAAAGAACUACCACUCCUACCUUACAUUUCUGAGAAGAGAACUACCUACCCUUGUGUUGAGAUCAAGUUGCUCCACUCCCACCAUAUGAAGCUUGAUCUCUAGCCUUCCCAAGUUGCUUUCCACUCAAUCCUUUCUUCCACCACAGCCAAAUCAGUGAGGAGAGUUGAGUGUUGGGGAGAUUAUCAUUUGAAGCACAAGAGCAAGGAGUUCGUCAUCAUCUACAACAUCUAUUACCUUUUGGAGGGUGGUGCCUCCUAGAUUGGUUAGGUGUCGCUUGGGAGCCUCCGUCAUCGAGAUGUGGAGUUGAACCAAGAAGUUUGUAAGGGCAAGGAGAUCGCCUACUUCGUGAAGAUCUACCCCGAGUAAGGCUAGCCCUCCGUGGGCGUAGGCCAUGAUGGAAUAGACAAGGUUGCUUCUUCGUGGACCCUUCGUGGGUGGAGCCCUCCGUGGACUCGCGCAGCCGUUACCCUCCGUGGGUUGAAGUCUCCAUCAACGUGGAAGUACGAUAGCACCACCUAUCGGAACCACGAGAAAAAUCACCGCGUCUCCAAAUUGCGUUUGAUCUUCUCCACUUCUCUUUACUACUUGUGCAAUUUACUUUCCGCUGCCCAUACUCUAGAAUUGCAUGUGUAGUGUGCUACUUGACUUGUAUGUUAUGCAAAAUCUGCCAAAAUCUGUCCUUGAUAAAAGACAGAAUUUUUAUCUUGUCGAGUAGUCUAAUCACCCCCCCCUCUAGACACUCUCACCUUCUUCGAUCCCUCAAGCGGGAAACGUGGAGCUCUACCUCUCACUCGCCCAUGUCUUUACAAUCACUCUCCUCUCACCUUCCAUGGUUCCUCACCGUCGUGAGCAUCGACGACGGGAAGAUCUAGAUGGUGACCCCGCGGUGGGAAGAUCUAAGCGGCGACCACCAGUGAUGAUCAUCCAAACACGCUUCAUGAACACUUCUUCAAUGACGGUAAGCCCUGAAGCCAUCGGAUUUGUAUGUAGGAGGCAAGUAAUAUCCUUCUGUUUCCGGUUUGGGUUGAAUUUGGGGGUCGAUUAAGGGUUUGAUUUUUGGGAGAAAUAUGAUUUGAUUUGGGGGAGAUCAAUGAUUUUAGGACUAAAUUGUGUAUUAUGUUCAUGUGUAUUACAUGUCUAAAUGAUCUUAUAUUUCUUCAUAGAGGGAGUAUGAUUUUAGUCCCGAUCGAAUCUGUAUGUAUAUGCAUGUUUCAUGGUGGUGUGUUGAGCUUCCUGAUCCUCACUGAUGCACAGUCCAUGUAUUAGGGUGACCAGUCAUACGACGGUUGGUUCAACAUAUUGUAGUUCUAAUCCUUGUACGAGCCGUCCCCUUCCAUGAUGGCACGCAGUGAAGAUCAUUCAAGCUUUACCGAUGCUUACUAGUGUAGUGAUGCAUUGUUGCUCUAUCACUGUAGUGGUGCAAUGUGGUAGUGUGUCAAGCUUCAUGAUCUUCAUUGCAGUGCUCUUCCGGCAAGCUAGUCCUAAGCAAUGCUCCUCAGGGCAAUUGCUCUAAGGAUGCAGGAGAAAGCAGUGUCUCUAAGAGGUGCGGGGGGAUGCCGACAAAGGUUGUACAGUUCCAUGAGGAAGUUUCUCCAACCCACUAAUGGAAGGUGCUGUUAGCACCCGGUUGGAGUUACUUCCCAUCCUUGAUACCGUCCAUCAGUACCUAGGCACCACCCCAAGGGAGAUCACUCUGAAGAGAAAACCAAAUGCAAAUGGAUUGUAAGGGGAGGGUUACCAUGGAUCAAGGGUGUCUAAGCUUUGCGAUUGCUCACCAGCUGCAGAUUAUCUAGCUACUUCCUGACCUUCAAGAUGUUGAACUAAGAUGUUUUUAGGGUCACCAUCUUUGACCGUUCUCGCGGAGGUCGUCAUCAAGUGUGUCGACCGCGGUCUAGCGCUUGAAAUGAUCAAUGAGUGAGGGUUUAAAUAUCUUUGUUUGUUAGCAUGUGUGUGAUGUGAACUAUUUUGACUAUUGUUCAAUGUUGUUGUUGCUACUUUAGUGUUGCUGCUACUAAUAUGUCGUAGUGUAAUCUAUGUUGUUUAGUAUUUUGUUCGUUAGUGUUGCUGCCACUCUUAUGCCUAUGACUUUGUCUGUCGGUAACCUCAGCACUCGAAGAAGACGUAACUACACCGCAUGCCUAGAACCUAAUCAACAACAACACAUUUCAUCUGGGGAGCACAGACUUGCAACCAAACAUGGUGCUGGUGUUUUCUGCUCUCAUGCAACCUAGGGCUUUGUGGGCAACCAAAUGUGACGUGCAAAACAUGGUUUAGAGGUUGUAUUAGCCCAUUCAACCUCUAUGGGUCACUCAUGCAAGGGGUCGAAAAUAGAUGGAAGCAACCGAACAUGCCCGAUGUAAUCGAUACAUACCUCAUGGUUCACAUGGACAUGGUUGUGGCCUGUGUUUGGACACCUUUUUCAUGAGAUUGUACCUAGGGCUAUGCAAGCCAUCUCUCUUGGUUGUAUUGGCUUGGAGUGGAUUGGAUUCUACCAUUGCCUCAUAUUUUAGGCCGAGUCAAAUGAGGACUGAGUUGAAAAUUUCAAACAAUAAUAACCUGAAGAAAACCAAAAAAAUGUGAAAAUUUCUAAAGGUAAGCAACACUUUUGUUGUUCUAGAUAACCAUGUCCUUGUUGAUAGAGCUAUAGCAGUUGGUACCAUUUUAGGCAAUGAUGUCUCUUAAAUUGAAGAAAACAAUUGGUUAAAAAGAUAUGAAAAUUAUUUAAAUAUAUAGACUGUCUAGAUUUCAUGAAGAUAAAACCCAAAUACUUAUGUUUCUCCUAGCAAACAUUAUGUUUAUGUUGUCUUGUUGCGAGAAAUUCAUGUUUGUUGUUAGAACAAGGGUAGUAUCAUGCAUGUACAUAAUAGGGGACUAAGCAUCAAAAUAUCUCUCAUUUGAAUGAAGGAGUAACUCAUCUUCGACCAAGGUUUUUUUUGAAAACGAUGAUAACCCCCGGCCUCUACAUCAAAAUGAUGCAUGCAACCAUAUUAUUAAAACAAAGUAUGAUCACAAGUCUGAAGUGCAAGUCUAGCUCUCAAAUGGAGCAAAGCAAGAAGAAAUAAAAACAGUGCCACAUUCGGCAAAAACAGUAACAGGCCAUGAUGCCUAUACACCUAGCCUAUUAGUAACUCGCCAUCCAAAACUGUUGAAGAUAAUCCGUGCUACCAUCUUCCAUCGGUUGCACCCAACAUCCAAACGCUCUCUGGAGUCCGCAUGGGCGAGUAACGACUGAUACGUCUCCGCCGUAUCUACUUUUUCUAACGCUUUUCCUCUUGUUUUGGACUCUAAUUUGCAUGAUUUGAAUGAAACUAACCUGGACCGAUGUUGUUUUCAGUAGAACUACCGUGGUGUUGUUUUUGUGCAGAAAUAAAAGUUCUCGGAUUGGAACGAAACUUUGCGAGGAAUUUUUAUACAAUAACAGAUAAUUUCUGGAGCCAAGAACCACCGGAUGAGGGCACGUGGGUGGGCACAACCCACCAGGGCGCGCACCCCCUACAGGCGUGCCCAGGUGGGUUGUCCUCUCCUGGUGGCCCCACAGACCUCAACCUUGAUACUAUAAAAUCACAUUUUCAGAGAAAAAAAUAGGAAGGAAGAUUUAUCAUGUUUCACGAGACGGAGCCGCUGCCACCUCAUGUUCUUCAUCGAGAGGCCAGAUCUAGAGUCCGUUUGGGGCUCCGAAGAGGGGGAUCUUCGAUCUUCAUCAUCACCAACCCUUCUCCAUCACCAAUUCCAUGAUGCUCCCUACUGGGAGUGAGUAAUUCCAUCGUAGGCUCUCUGGUCGGUGAGGAGUUGGAUGAGAUUCAUCAUGUAAUCGAGUUAGUUUUGUUAGGGCUUGAUCCCUAGUAUCCAUUAUGUUCUGAGAUUGAUAUUGCUAUGACUUUGCCAUGCUUAAUGCUUGUAACUUUGGUCCCGGGUGCCAUGAUUUCAGAUCUGAACCGUUUACAUUAUGACCAUUCUAUCUAUGUUCUAGAUCCGAUUUUGUAAGUUAUAGUCACCUACUACGUGUUAUGACCCGGCAACCCCGGAGUGACAGAAGUCGGGACACUUCCCGGUGAUGACCGUAGUUUGAGGUGUUCAUGUAUUCAUUAUGUGUUAAUGCUUUGUUCCGGAUCUCUAUUAAAAGGAUGUCUUAAUAUCCCUUGGUUUCUAAUAGGACCCCGCCGCCACGGGAGGGUAGGACAAAAGAUGUCAUGCAAGUUCUUUACGUAAACGCGUAUGACUAUUUACGAAAUACAUGCCUACAUUAUAUUUAUAAACUAGAGCUAGUGCCUUAUCGCCCUAGGUUAUGACUGUUAUAUGAUGAAUAUCAUCCAACGAAUUCACCAAUCCAAUGCCUAUGAAUUUCUCUUAUAUUGUUUAUGCUAAAUUACCAUUGUUACCGUUACUGUUACACUUGCUACAAAAUCAUUGAUAUCACUGCUACUAUUACUAUUAUUGUUGCUACUACUGUCAAAGCUAUCAUACGACUUUGCUACUGAUCACUUUGCUGCAGAUAAUUAAUCUCCAAGUGUGGUUGAAUUGACAACUCAGCUGCUAAUACUUGCAAAUAUUCUUUGACUCCCCUUGUGUCAAAUCAAUAAAUUUGGGUUGAAUAAUCUACCCUUGAAACUGUUGCGAUCCCCUAUACUUGUGGGUUAUCAACCACGUACGGAUCCAAGCAGUAGCUCUGUAUAUAACCUGCACAAAGUUGACAAAGUUUAUCUGGUUAAAUAUCAUGUCAUUCCUAGUGUUCCAUAUAGCCCAUAAUAAAGUGCAUACUCAUAUCGAAUAUGUCUCGCUGUGUUUGAAUCCACUCCGUUUAGUCACGUUCCAAAUAACUGUUGGGGAACAUAGUAAUUUCAAAAUUUUCCUAUGCACACGCAAGAUCAUGGUGUUGCAUAGCAACGAGAGGGGGAGAGUGUGAUCUACGUACCCUUGUAGAUCGACAAAGGAAGCGUUUGGUUGAUGUAGUCGUACGUCUCCACGGCCCGACCGAUCAAGCACCGAAACUACGGCACCUCCGAGUUCUAGCACACGUUCAGCUCGAUGACGAUCCCCGGACUCCGAUCCAGCAAAGUGUCGGGGAAGAGUUCCGUCAGCACGACGGUGUGGUGAUGAUCUUGAUGUACUGCCGUCGCAGGGCUUCGCCUAAGCACCGCUACAAUAUUAUCGAGGACUAUGGUGGAAGGGGGCACCGCACACGGCUAAGAAUAUGAUCACGUGGAUCAACUUGUGUGUCAAGGGGUGCCUCUUGCCUCCAUAUAUAAAGGAUCCAAGGGGGGGUGCGGCCGGCCCUAGUAGGAGGCGCGCAGGAGGAGUCCUACUCCUACCGGGAGUAGCACUCCCCUCCCUUUCCUUGUCCAAUUAGGAGAGGGGGAAGGAAGGGAGAGAGGAGAGGGGGGCGCCGCCCCUCCCUCCUUGUCCAAUUCGGACUAGGGGGAGAGGGGGCGCGCGUCCUGCCCUGGCAGCCCCUCCUCUUCUCCACUCUAGGCCCAUGAGGUCCAUUAACCGCCCGGGGGGUUCCGGUAACCCCCCGGUGCUCCGGUUUUAUCCGAAACUUCCCCGGAACACUUCCGGUGUCCGAAUAUAGCCGUCCAAUAUAUCAAUCUUUAUGUCUCAACCAUUUCGAGACUCCUCGUCAUGUCCGUGAUCACAUCCGGGACUCCGAACUAACUUCGGUACAUCAAAACUCAUAAACUCAUAAUAUAACUAUCAUCGAAACCUUAAGUGUGCGGACCCUACGGGUUCGAGAAUAAUGUAAGCAUGACCGAGACACGUCUCCGGUCAAUAACCAAUAGCGGAACCUGGAUGCUCAUAUUGGCUCCUACAUAUUCUAUGAAGAUCUUUAUCGGUCAGACCGAAUAACAACAUACGUUGUUCCCUUUGUCAUCGGUAUGUUACUUGCCCGAGAUUCGAUCGUCGGUAUCUCAAUACCUAGUUCAAUCUCGUUACCGGCAAGUCUCUUUACUCGUUCCGUAAUACAUCAUCUCGCAACUAACUCAUUAGUUGCAAUGCUUGCAAGGCUUAUGUGAUGUGCAUUACCGAGAGGGCCCAGAGAUACCUCUCCGACAAUCGGAGUGACAAAUCUUAAUCUCGAAAUACGCCAACCCAACAUGUACCUUUGGAGACACCUGUAGAGUACCUUUAUAAUCACCCAUUUACGUUGUGACAUUUGGUAGCACACAAAGUGUUCCUCCGGCAAACGGGAGUUGCAUAAUCUCAUAGUCAUAGGAACAUGUAUAAGUCAUGAAGAAAGCAAUAGCAACAUACUAAACGAUCGGGUGCUAAGCUAAUGGAAUGGGUCAUGUCAAUCAGAUCAUUCACCUAAUGAUGUGAUCCCGUUAAUCAAAUAACAACUCUUUGUUCAUGGUUAGGAAACAUAACCAUCUUUGAUUAACGAGCUAGUCAACUAGAGGCAUACUAGUGACACUCUGUUUGUCUAUGUAUUCACACAUGUAUUAUGUUUCCGGUUAAUGCAAUUCUAGCAUGAAUAAUAAACAUUUAUCAUGAUAUAAGGAAAUAAAUAAUAACUUUAUUAUUGCCUCUAGGGCAUAUUUCCUUCAGUCUCCCACUUGCACUAGAGUCAAUAAUCUAGACUACACAAUAAUGAUUCUAACACCCAUGGAGCCUUGGUGCUGAUCAUGUUUUGCUCGUGGAAGAGGCUUAGUCAACGGGUCUGCAACAUUCAGAUCCGUAUGUAUCUUGCAAAUCUCUAUGUCUCCCACCUGGACUAGAUCCCGGAUGGAAUUGAAGCGUCUCUUGAUGUGCUUGGUUCUCUUGUGAAAUCUGGAUUCCUUUGCCAAGGCAAUUGCACCAGUAUUGUCACAAAAGAUUUUCAUUGGACCCGACGCACCAGGUAUGACACCUAGAUCGGAUAUGAACUCCUUCAUCCAGACUCCUUCAUUUGCUGCUUCCGAAGCAGCUAUGUACUCCGCUUCACAUGUAGAUCCCGCUACAACGCUUUGUUUAGAACUGCACCAACUGACAGCUCCACCGUUUAAUGUAAACACGUAUCCGGUUUGCGAUUUAGAAUCGUCCGGAUUAGUGUCAAAGUUUGCAUCAACGUAACCUUUUACGAUGAGCUCUUUGUCACCUCCAUAAAUGAGAAACAUAUCCUUAGUCCUUUUCAGGUAUUUCAGGAUGUUCUUGACCGUUGUCCGGUGAUCCACUCCUAGAUCACUUUGGUACCUCCCUGCUAGACUUAUAGCAAGGCACACAUCAGGUCUGGUACACAGCAUUGCAUACAUGAUAGAGCCUAUGGCUGAAGCAUAGGGAACAUCUUUCAUUUUCUCUCUAUCUUCUGCAGUGGUCGGGCAUUGAGUCUUACUCAACUUCACACAUUGUAACACAGGCAAGAACCCUUUCUUUGCUUGAUCCAUUUUGAACUUCUUCAAAACUUUGUCAAGGUAUGUGCUUUGUGAAAGUCCAAUUAAGCGUCUUGAUCUAUCUCUAUAGAUCUUAAUGCCUAAUAUGUAAGCAGCUUCACCGAGGUCUUUCAUUGAAAAACUCUUAUUCAAGUAUCCCUUUAUGCUAUCCAGAAAUUCUAUAUCAUUUCCAAUUAGUAAUAUGUCAUCCACAUAUAAUAUCAGAAACGCUACAGAGCUCCCACUCACUUUCUUGUAAAUACAGGCUUCUCCAGAAGUCUGUAUAAAACCAAAUGCUUUGAUCACACUAUCAAAGCAUUUAUUCCAACUCCGAGAGGCUUGCACCAGUCCAUAAAUGGAUCGCUGGAGCUUGCACACUUUGUUAGCUUCCUUUGGAUCGACAAAACCUUCUGGUUGCAUCAUAUACAACUCUUCUUCUAGAAAUCCAUUCAGGAUGCAGUUUUGACAUCCAUCUGCCAAAUUUCAUAAUCAUAAAAUGCGGCAAUUGCUAACAUGAUUCGGACAGACUUAAGCAUCCCUACGGGUGAGAAGGUCUCAUCGUAGUCAAUCCCUUGAACUUGCCGAAAACCUUUUGCGACAAGUCGAGCUUUGUAGACAGUAAUAUUACCGUCAGCGUCAGUCUUCUUCUUGAAGAUCCAUUUAUUCUCAAUUGCUUGCCAAUCAUCGAGCAAGUCAACCAAAGUCCAUACUUUGCUCUCAUACAUGGAUCCCAUCUCAGAUUUCAUGGCUUCAAGCCAUUUUGCGGAAUCUGGGCUCACCAUCGCUUCUUCAUAGUUCAUAGGUUCAUCAUGAUCUAGUAGCAUGACUUCCAAAACAGGAUUACCGUACCACUCUGGUGCGGAUCUCACUCUGGUUGAUCUACGAGGUUCAGUAGUAUCUUGUUCUGAAGUUUCAUGAUCAUCAUCAUUAUCUUCCUCACUAACUAGUGUAGGUGUCACAGAAACAGUUUUCUAUGAUGCACUACUUUCCAAUAAGGGAGCAGGUACAGUUACCUCGUCAAGUUCUACUUUCCUCCCACUCACUUCUUUUGAGAGAAACUCCUUCUCCAGAAAGUUUCCGAACUUAGCAACAAAAGUCUUGCCUUCGGAUCUGUGAUAGAAGGUGUAUACAAUAGUCUCCUUUGGAUAUCCUAUGAAGACACAUUUCUCCGAUUUGGGUUCAAGCUUAUCAGGUUGAAGCUUUUUCACAUAAGCAUCGCAGCCCCAAACUUUCAGAAACGACAACUUUGGUUUCUUGCCAAACCAUAGUUCAUAAGGUGUCGUCUCAACGGAUUUUGAUGGUGCCCUAUUUAACGUGAAUGCGGCCGUCUCCAAAGCAUAACCCCAAAAUAAUAGUUGUAAAUCAGUAAGAGACAUCAUAGAUCGCACCAUAUCUAAUAAAGUACGAUUACGACGUUCGGACACACCAUUACACUGUGGUGUUCCGGGUGGCGUGAGUUGCGAAACUAUUCCGCAUUGUUUCAAAUGUACACCAAACUCGUAACUCAAAUAUUCUCCUCCACGAUCAGAUCGUAGAAAUUUUAUUUUCUUGUUACGAUGAUUUUCAACUUCACUCUGAAAUUCUUUGAACUUUUCAAACGUUUCAGACUUAUGUUUCAUUAAGUAGAUAUACCCAUAUCUGCUUAAGUCAUCUGUGAAGGUGAGAAAAUAACGAUAUCCGCCACGAGCCUCAAUAUUCAUUGGACCACAUACAUCUGUAUGUAUGAUUUCCAACAAAUCUGUUGCUCUCUCCAUAGUACCGGAGAAUGGAGUUUUAGUCAUCUUGCCCAUGAGGCACGGUUCGCAAGUACCAAGUGAUUCGUAAUCAAGUGGUUCCAAAAGUCCAUAAGUAUGGAGUUUCUUCAUGCGCUUUACACCGAUAUGACCUAAACGGCAGUGCCAUAAAUAAGUUGCACUAUCAUUAUCAACUCUACAUCUUUUGGCUUCAACACUAUGAAUAUGUGUGUCACUACUUAUCGAGAUUCAAUAAAAAUAGACCACUCUUUAAGGGUGUAUGACCAUAAAAGAUAUUACUCAUAUAAAUAGAACAACCAUUAUUCUCAGAUUUAAAUGAAUAACCGUCUCGCAUCAAACAAGAUCCAGAUAUAAUGUUCAUGCUUAACGCUGGCACCAAAUAACAAUUAUUUAGGUCUAAUAUUAAUCCCGAAGGUAGAUGUAGAGGUAGCGUGCCGACUGCGAUCACAUCGACUUUGGAACCGUUUCCCACACGCAUCGUCACCUCGUCCUUAGCCAAUCUUCGCUUAAUCCGUAGUCCCUGUUUCGAGUUGCAAAUAUUAGCAACAGAACCAGUAUCAAAUACCCAGGUGCUACUGCGAGCAUUAGUAAGGUACACAUCAAUAACAUGUAUAUCACAUAUACCUUUGUUCACCUUGCCAUCCUUUUUAUCCGCCAAAUACUUGGGGCAGUUCCGCUUCCAGUGACCAGUCUGCUUGCAGUAGUAGCACUCAGUUUCAGGCUUAGGUCCAGACUUGGGUUUCUUCUCUUGAGUAGCAACUAGCUUGCCGUUCUUUUUGAAGUUCCCCUUCUUCUUCCCUUUGGCCUUUUUCUUGAAACUAGUGGUCUUGUUAACCAUCAACACUUGAUGCUCCUUCUUGAUUUCUACCUCCGCAGCUUUCAGCAUUGCGAAGAGCUCGGGAAUAGUCUUAUUCAUCCCUUGCAUAUUAUAGUUCAUCAUGAAGCUCUUGUAGCUUGGUGGCAGUGAUUGGAGAAUUCUGUCAAUGACGCAAUCAUCUGGAAGAUUAACUCCCAAUUGAAUCAAGUGAUUAUUAUACCCAGACAUUUUGAGUAUAUGCUCACUGACAGAACUGUACUCUUCCAUCUUGCAGCUAUAGAACUUAUUGGAGACUUCAUAUCUCUCAAUCCGGGCAUUUGCUUGAAAUAUUAACUUCAACUCCUGGAACAUCUCAUAUGCUCCAUGACGUUCAAAACGUCGUUGAAGUCCCGAUUCUAAGCCGUAAAGCAUGGCACACUGAACUAUCGAGUAGUCAUCAGCUUUGCUCUGCCAGACGUCCAUAACAUCUGGUGUUGCUCCAGCAGCAUGUCUGGCACCCAGCGGUGCUUCCAGGAUGUAAUUCUUCUGUGCAGCAAUGAGGAUAAUUCUCAAGUUACGGACCCAGUCCGUAUAAUUGCUACCAUUAUCUUUCAACUUUGCUUUCUCAAGGAACGCAUUAAAAUUCAACGGAACAACAACACGAGCCAUCUAUCUACAAUCAAGCAUAAACAAGCAAGAUACUAUCGGGUACUAAGUUUCAUGAUAAAUUUAGGUUCAAUUAAUUUACUUAAAGAACUCCCACUUAGAUAGACAUCUCUCUAAUCCUCUAAGUGAUUACGUGAUCCAAAUCAACUAAACCAUGUCCGAUCAUCACGUGAGAUGGAGUAGUUUCAUUGGUGAACAUCACUAUGUUGAUCAUAUCUACUAUAUGAUUCACGCUCGACCUUUCGGUCUCCGUGUUCCGAGGCCAUAUCUGUAUAUGCUUGGCUCGUCAAGUAUAACCUGAGUAUUCCGCGUGUGCAACUGUUUUGCACCCGUUGUAUUUAAACGUAGAGCCUAUCACACCCGAUCAUCACGUGGUGUCUCAACACGAAGAACUUUCGCAACGGUGCAUACUCAGGGAGAACACUUCUUGAUAAUUAGUGAGAGAUCAUCUUAUAAUGCUACCGUCAAACAAAGCAAGAUAAGAUGCAUAAAAGAUAAACAUCACAUGCAAUCAAUAUAAGUGAUAUGAUAUGGCCAUCAUCAUCAUGCGCUUGUGAUCUCCAUCUUCGAAGCACCGUCGUGAUCACCAUCGUCACCGGCGCGACACCUUGAUCUCCAUCGUAGCAUCGUUGUCGUCUCGCCAAUCUUAUGCUUCCACGACUAUCGCUACCGCUUGUUGCAUACAAUAAAGUGACAACCAUAUGGCUCCUGCCAGUUGCCGAUAACUUGGUUACAAAACAUGAUCAUCUCAUACAAUAAAAUUUAGCAUCAUGUCUUGACCAUAUCACAUCACAACAUGCCCUGCAAAAACAAGUUAGACGUCCUCUACUUUGUUGUUGCAAGUUUUACGUGGCUGCUACGGGCUUAAGCAAGAACCAAUCUUACCUACGUAUCAAAACCACAACGAUAGUUUGUCAAGUUGGUGCUGUUUUAACCUUCGCAAGGACCGGGCGUAGCCACACUCGGUUCAAAUAAAGUUGGAGAAACUGUCACCCGCAAGCCACCUAUGUGCAAAGCACGUCGGGAGAACCGGUCUCGCGUAAGCGUACACGUAAUGUCGGUCUGGGCCGCUUCGUCCAACAAUACCGCUGAACCAAAGUAUGACAUGCUGGUAGGCAGUAUGACUUAUAUAGCCCACAACUCACUUGUGUUCUACUCGUGCAUAUAACAUCAACAUAUAAAACCUAAGCUCUGAUACCACUGUUGGGGAACGUAGUAAUUUCAAAAUUUUCCUACGCACAUGCAAGAUCAUGGUGAUGCAUAG
rnacentral:lncRNA from 1 species